AGUGUUCAGACUACCUGUUCAUCAGGCUGAAGCUGAACAGUAGUCUGCACAUUGGUU
rnacentral:pre_miRNA from 1 species